GCAUAUCAAUAAGCGGAGGAAAAGAAACCAACAGGGAUUGCCUUAGUAGCGGCGAGUGAAGCGGCAAUAGCUCAAAUUUGAAAUCUGCCAACAGGCCGAGUUGUAAUUUGAAGAAAGCAAUUCUGGAUGUGUCUUUGCUCAAGUUCCUUGGAACAGGACAUCAUGGAGGGUGAGAAUCCCGUGAUGCGAAGGUAGCAUAUCUAUGUAGAAUGUUUUCGACGAGUCGAGUUGUUUGGGAAUGCAGCUCAAAGUGGGUGGUAAAUUCCAUCUAAAGCUAAAUAUUGGCGAGAGACCGAUAGCGAACAAGUACUGUGAAGGAAAGAUGAAAAGAACUUUGAAAAGAGAGUGAAAAAGUACGUGAAAUUGUUGAAAUGGAAGGGCUUGAGAUUAGACAUGGUGUUUAGUGUUCCACUUUCUUUUGGGAAUGUGUACUCGCUUUACACCGGGCCAGCAUCAGUUUUGGUGGGAGGAUAAAUGGUAUUGAAUGUGGCUGCUUGCAGUGUUAUAGCUUUAUCAAAUACUUCCAAUCGGGACUGAGGACCGCGCAUUUGCUAGGAUGCUGGCGUAAUGAUCUUAAGCCACCCGUCUUGAAACACGGACCAAGGAGUCUAUUGCCUAUGCGAGUGUUUGGGUGUUAAACCCGUACGCGUAAUUAAAGUGAACGUAGGUUGGGGCCUUCGGGUGCACAAUCGACCGAUCCUGACGUUUUCAGAUGGAUUUGAGUAAGAGCAUAGUUGAUGGGACCCGAAAGAUGGUGAACUAUGCCUGAAUAGGGUGAAGCCAGAGGAAACUCUGGUGGAGGCUCGUAGCGGUUCUGACGUGCAAAUCGAUCGUCAAAUUUGGGUAUAGGGGCGAAAGACUAAUCGAACCAUCUAGUAGCUGGUUCCUGCC
rnacentral:rRNA from 1 species